UAUCUCUGUAGAGUCUGCAUAUCAAUAAGCGGAGGAAAAGAAACUAACUAGGAUUCCCUUAGUAACUGGCGAGUGAAGCGGGAAGAGCUCAAAUUUGAAAUCUUCAAGGUUUUACCUUGACGAAUUGUAGUUUAAAGAAGUGUUUUCUGUUGUAAGUUUUGGUAAAAGUUCUUUGGAAUAGGACAUCAUAGAGGGUGAGAAUCCCGUAUUUGACCAUUACUUCCAGCGUUGUGAUACACUUUCAAAGAGUCGGAUUGUUUGGGAAUGCAGCCCAAAAUGGGUGGUAAAUUUCAUCUAAAGCUAAAUAUUGGCGAGAGACCGAUAGCGAACAAGUACCGUGAGGGAAAGAUGAAAAGAACUUUGAAAAGAGAGUUAAACAGUACGUGAAAUUGUCAAAAGGGAAGCGUUUGACACCAGUGUUGUUUUCUCGAAAAUCAAUUAAAAAAAGUUGGAUUUUGUAUUGUUAAGACCUUAUCAGCUUACUGUACUCUUUUCUUGCUUUAUUUAAUGCACUUUUCGUUUAACAAGUCAACAUCAAUUUCUUUUGUUGUAAAAGAGUCAUUGGAAGGUGGCUUUCACUUCGGUGAAAGUGUUUAUAGCCUUUGGCUUCUGCAAUCGGAGAGAUUGAGGUCUGCAGCGUAGAUCCUUCGGGGCUAGAUACGUAGAUGCUAAGUUAUAGUUUUUUAUAGACAACUUGUUGACUAUAAUUAAUCAUGUAGCUUACUCGUUUGCGCUAUUUUACCUACGCUUAGGAUGUUGAUCUGUAGUGCGUGCGC
rnacentral:rRNA from 1 species